rnacentral:miRNA from 1 species
UGCAUUGAUCAAAUAUGCAAAUUUUAAAAAAAAUUUGAAAAUCAUUUGAUACUUCAUUUCAUUAAUUCAAAUUGACAGAUAAUUAUAAAAUCAUUUUAUACAUUGAUUUAAAUUAAUGAAACAAAGUAUCAAAUAAUUUUCAAAUUUUUUUAAAAUUUGCAUAUUUGAUCUAUGUA